rnacentral:rRNA from 1 species
AUCUCUGUAGAGUCUGCAUAUCAAUAAGCGGAGGAAAAGAAACUAACUAGGAUUCCCUCAGUAACGGCGAGUGAAGCGGGAAGAGCUCAAAUUUGAAAUCUUCAAGGUUCUACCUUGACGAAUUGUAGUUUAAAGAAGUGUUUUCUGUUGGAGUUUUGGUAAAAGUUCUUUGGAAUAGGACAUCAUAGAGGGUGAGAAUCCCGUAUUUGACCAUUAUUUCCAACUUUGUGAUACACUUUCAAAGAGUCGGAUUGUUUGGGAAUGCAGUCCAAAAUGGGUGGUAAAUUUCAUCUAAAGCUAAAUACUGGCGAGAGACCGAUAGCGAACAAGUACCGUGAGGGAAAGAUGAAAAGAACUUUGAAAAGAGAGUUAAACAGUACGUGAAAUUGUCAAAAGGGAAGCGUUUGACACCAGUGUUGUUUUCUCGAAAAUCAAUUAAAAAUGGCGGGAUUUUGUGUUGUAUUGACUUUAUCAGCUUUCUGCACUUUUUUCCUGUCUUUUUUAAUGCACUUUUCGUUUAACAAGUCAACAUCAAUUUCUUUUGUUGUAAAAGAGUCAUUGGAAGGUGGCUUUCUUUUCGGAGAAAGUGUUUAUAGCCUUUGACUUCUGCAAUCGGAGAGAUUGAGGUCUGCAGCGUAGAUCCUUCGGGGUUAGAUACAUUUGUGCUAAGCUAUAGCCUUUCAUAGACAACUUGUUGACUAUGAUCAGUCAUGUAGCUUACUCGCUUAUGCUAUUUUACCUACGCUUAGGAUGUUGAAUCUGUGCGAGACUAC